rnacentral:rRNA from 1 species
GACGUAGGGUGCAAGCGUUGUCCGGAUUUAUUGGGCGUAAAGAGCUUGUAGGCGGUUUGUCGCGUCUGCUGUGAAAUUUCGGGGCUCAACCCCGAACUUGCAGUGGGUACGGGCAGACUAGAGUGUGGUAGGGGAGACUGGAAUUCCUGGUGUAGCGGUGAAAUGCGCAGAUAUCAGGAGGAACACCGAUGGCGAAGGCAGGUCUCUGGGCCAUAACUGACGCUGAGAAGCGAAAGCAUGGGGAGCGAACAGG